AUGGUAUGAAAUGUGAAUGAGGUA
rnacentral:piRNA from 1 species